rnacentral:lncRNA from 1 species
AGGAGGAAGCAGUGCAGGGCCGUUGGCGAGCGCAGGCAGCGGGCGCGCAGCAGCCAGGGGGAGCGGCCCAGGCCGGUCGAGCAGCGCACACCACCGGCAGCGGCGGUGGCCAGCGAGGGCAGGGCAGGCCAAUGGAGCACGGUGGCCCACGGAAGCCGCCCAGGCCAGCGGGAACAGAGCAGGGCAGCUGUGCGCAACGCAGGCUGCUCAGAGCAGCAGAGACGACAGGAAGCAGCGGUGGCCAGAGGGAGACGUGCUGGCUGAGGGUGCAGCGGUGGCCACGGGGAGCAGCGCAGGCCAACCGAGCCCCCGUGGCUUAAGGCAGCAGCAGCCCAGGCCAAUCGGAGCAGCGCACGUGAGCGUGUGCAACGCAGGUCGGAUGGAGCAGCACAGGCCAUAGAGCGCGGCGGUGGCCAGACGGUCAGCGAAGGCGGUGGGCGCAGGAGAGAUCGCGGGCGCAGCGCAGGCAGCGGGCCCACAGCGCGCAGCGGACGCUCAACAGGCCGCGGGAGCUCGGAAGCCAGCGGGCGCACAAAGGGCAGCGGGCACGCAACGGGCAGGGGGAUCUUCAAAAGGCAGUGGGAGCCCGACAGGCAGUGGGAGCAGCACAGGCCGGGCAGAGCAGCACGCAGCAUCGGCAGCAGCGGUGGCCAACGGGAGCGCGGCAGGCGAACGGAGCAUGGUGGCCUGAGGAAGCAGCACGGGCCAGUGGGAGCAGCGCAGGGCAUAGGGAGCAGCACAGGCCUGCGGGUGCAGCGCGGGCCGCGGAGGGAGCAGCACAGGCCGGAGGGAGGGGUGGAGGGGAGAGGGAGGCGCAAAGGCCAGAAGGAGCAGCGCAGGGCUGGGGGAGCAGCGCAGGNGAGCAGCGCAGGCCUGGGGGUGCAGCGCGGGGCGCGGAGGGAGCGCAGGGCGGUGGGUGCAGCGCAGGACAGGGGGAGCAGCGCAGGCGUGAGGCAGCAGCGCGGGAAGAAGGGGGCAGCGCGGGGCAUAGGGAGCAGCACAGGCCUGCGGGUGCAGCGCG